CAAAAAACGGCAGCAACGAAUGUGGAUUGAAUGUCACUGAUGCAUUUUUCGAUAUGGAUGUAAUAUAGGAUGUUUACACACUUUUUCUUCUAUCAUAAGCGGAUAAUCAAUUGACGAAUAUGGUACAUAUGAAUUGCGGAUAGCGUACGUUUCUGCGGAUAAUGCCGAAUCUCAACGCGGGACAGAUUUUCCAUGUGUGAAAAACGAGCUACUCUGAGGCAAAACUCAGAAUCCUACGUGCAAGCAAUGAUGAAAUUCACGACAAAAAUAUUUAAAUAUCUUUCGACACCACGCAGUUACAUAAAAUUGAUGCUUGGCUGGAGUGAAAGGCAAGUAGAAGGCGGUUAGUGGGCGACCAAAAGGUCGGUUAGUCAAGGUCGACGACUGAGGUCGACUAAGAAAACUAAGACUUCUCUUUCUUUAUUGACUUCCGGGAAGAAUUUUUUCAUUGUAUAUUAAUAAAGUGCUAUGCAAAUGUAUAUGAGUAUUGAUAAGUAUUCUAAGCGCUAAAGGAAUGCGGUAAUAUGGUAGACUUCCAUAGAAAGAUUACAUAAUUUUUAUGAAUAUUA